rnacentral:lncRNA from 10 species
ACUGCACAGCUGGUAUCACGCACUGAUCAGUCACUGGCUGGGCACUGCUGGGGAAGAGUGUUGCCUCAGCUCAAAAGCAGAAUCGGAUCCUGAAGGACCUAAUGACUAGAAACUUCCAGCUGACUACACUCUGCAACUGACUGAUUUGAACGUCUAUAGAAUAUUACAUCUCUUUGACCUGAAGGACUUGCUUUAGCAUUUCUUGUACUACAAGUCUGAUGGAGGAAGUACUGAAGGAGGCACUUACUGAGAUGAAGGAAUAGAAAAGGGAGACCCAAGAUCCAAGAGACAGAGGAUCCAACUGAGGAGACCAAUAUUAGCAAAAGAAUGGCCAUUAUGUAUCAGAUUGAAAAAGUGAUCUAUGCAGACUGAAAUAAAAACAUGAUCCAGGAGGCAGGUUUUAAAUACCAUAAAAAUAAAACUGAGCCGGGCGUA